rnacentral:rRNA from 1 species
CCUACGGGAGGCAGCAGUAGGGAAUCUUUCACAAUGGGCGAAAGCCUGAUGGAGCAACGCCGCGUGCAGGAUGAAGGCCUUCGGGUUGUAAACUGCUUUUAUAAGCGAGAAAUAUGAUGGUAACUUAUGAAUAAGGAUCGGCUAACUACGUGCCAGCAGCCGCGGUCAUACGUAGGAUCCGAGCAUUAUCCGGAGUGACUGGGUGUAAAGAGUUGCGUAGGUGGCAUAAUAAGUAGCUAGUGAAAUCUGGUGGCUCAACCAUUCAGACUAUUAGCUAAACUGUUAAGCUCGAGACCGUUAGGGGUAACUGGAAUUUCUAGUGUAGGAGUGAAAUCCGUAGAUAUUAGAAGGAACACCAAUAGCGUAGGCAGGUUGCUGGGACGGUUCUGACACUAAGGCUCGAAAGCGUGGGGAGCAAACAGGAUUAGAUACCCGAGUAGUC